rnacentral:rRNA from 1 species
ACAAGGGCGCAUGGUGAAUGCCUUGGCACUAGGAGCCGAUGAAGGACGGGACUAACACCGAUAUGCUUCGGGGAGCUGUACGUAAGCUAUGAUCCGGAGAUUUCCGAAUGGGGCAACCCAGCAGUUUUAAUCAACUGUUACCACUAGAUGAAUUCAUAGUCUAGUUGGAGGUAAACGCUGUGAACUGAAACAUCUCAUUAGCAGCAGGAAUAUAAAGAAAUUUCGAUUCCCUAAGUAGCGGCGAGCGAACGGGGAACAGCCCAAACCAAAGUGCUUGCACUUUGGGGUUGUAGGACUGAACAUUUGAGUUACCAAAGAACUUGAUAGUCGAAGGAUUUGGGAAAAUCCGCCAUAGAUGGUGAUAGCCCAGUAGAUUAAAUCAAAUUCUCUCAGUUCAGGAUCCUGAGUACGGCGGAACACGUGAAAUUCCGUCGGAAUCCGGGAGGACCAUCUCCCAAGGCUAAAUACUACCUAGUGACCGAUAGUGAACCAGUACCGUGAGGGAAAGGUGAAAAGCACCCCGGGAGGGGAGUGAAAUAGUUCCUGAAACCAUGUGCCUACAAUAAGUCAGAGCGCGUUAAUGCGUGAUGGCGUGCCUUUUGUAGAAUGAACCGGCGAGUUAUGAUCCCGUGCAAGGUUAAGACUAAAAAGUCGGAGCCGUAGCGAAAGCGAGUCUGAAAUGGGCGUUUUGAGUACGAGGUUAUAGACCCGAAACCAGGUGACCUAUCCAUGUCCAGGUUGAAGGUGCGGUAAAACGCACUGGAGGACCGAACCCGUGUAAGUUGAAAAUUGCUGGGAUGAGGUGUGGAUAGCGGUGAAAUUCCAAACGAACUUGGAGAUAGCUGGUUCUCUCCGAAAUAGCUUUAGGGCUAGCCUCGGAAUUAGGAUCAUGGAGGUAGAGCACUAUUUGGACUAGGGGCCCGUCUUGGGUUACUGAAUUCAGAUAAACUCCGAAUGCCAUUGAUUCAUAUCCGGGAGUCAGACGAUGAGUGAUAAGAUCCACCGUCGAAAGGGGAACAGCCCAGACCAUCAGUUAAGGUCCCUAAAUGUAUGCUAAGUGGAAAAGGAUGUGGAGUUGCAUAGACAACUAGGAUGUUGGCUCAGAAGCAGCCACCAUUUAAAGAGUGCGUAAUAGCUCACUAGUCGAGUGAUCCUGCGCCGAAAAUGUACCGGGGCUAAGCAUACUACCGAAACCAUGGAUGCGACCAUUAGGUCGCGUGAUAGGAGAGCGUUCUAAGGGCGGUGAAGCAAGAUCGUGAGGACUUGUGGAGCGCUUAGAAGUGAGAAUGCCGGUAUGAGUAGCGAAAGAUAGGUGAGAAUCCUAUCCACCGAAUGACUAAGGUUUCCUGGGGAAGGCUCGUCCUCCCAGGGUUAGUCGGGACCUAAGUCGAGGCCGAGAGGCGUAGACGAUGGAUAACAGGUUGAGAUUCCUGUACUAGUUAAGUGCGUUUGAGCAAUGGAGGGACGCAGGAGGCUAAGAUGUGCAUUCUGUUGGAUUAGAAUGUCCAAGCAGUAAGUCUNGUGAAGAGUCAAAUGCUUUUCACUUUAAGGACAAGCUGUGAUGGGGAGCGAAAUUUAGUAGCGAAGCGUCUGAUGUCACACUGCCGAGAAAAGCUUCUAGUGAGUACUUAACUACCCGUACCGCAAACCAACACAGGUAGUCGAGGAGAGAAUCCUAAGGUGAGCGAGUGAACUCUCGUUAAGGAACUCGGCAAAAUGACCCCGUAACUUCGGGAGAAGGGGUGCUGAUCGCAAGAUCAGCCGCAGUGAAUAGGCCCAGGCGACUGUUUAUCAAAAACACAGGUCUCUGCAAAAUCGUAAGAUGACGUAUAGGGGCUGACGCCUGCCCGGUGCUGGAAGGUUAAAAGGAUGGGUUAGCUUCGGCGAAGCUCAGAAUUGAAGCCCCAGUAAACGGCGGCCGUAACUAUAACGGUCCUAAGGUAGCGAAAUUCCUUGUCGGGUAAGUUCCGACCCGCACGAAAGGCGUAACGAUCUGGGCACUGUCUCAACGAGAGACUCGGUGAAAUUAUAUUGUCCGUGAAGAUGCGGACUACCCGCGACAGGACGGAAAGACCCCAUGGAGCUUUACUGUAGCUUGAUAUUGAGUGUUUGUACAGCUUGUACAGGAUAGGUAGGAGCCAUAGAAACCGGAACGCUAGUUUCGGUGGAGGCGUUGGUGGGAUACUACCCUCGCUGUAUGACCACUCUAACCCGCACCACUAAUCGUGGUGGGAGACAGUGUCAGGUGGGCAGUUUGACUGGGGCGGUCGCCUCCUAAAAAGUAACGGAGGCGCCCAAAGGUUCCCUCAGAAUGGUUGGAAAUCAUUCGCAGAGUGUAAAGGCACAAGGGAGCUUGACUGCGAGACAGACAGGUCGAGCAGGGACGAAAGUCGGGCUUAGUGAUCCGGUGGUACCGUAUGGAAGGGCCAUCGCUCAACGGAUAAAAGCUACCCUGGGGAUAACAGGCUUAUCUCCCCCAAGAGUCCACAUCGACGGGGAGGUUUGGCACCUCGAUGUCGGCUCAUCGCAUCCUGGGGCUGUAGUCGGUCCCAAGGGUUGGGCUGUUCGCCCAUUAAAGCGGUACGCGAGCUGGGUUCAGAACGUCGUGAGACAGUUCGGUCCCUAUCCGUCGCGGGCGUAGGAAAUUUGAGAGGACCUGUCCUUAGUACGAGAGGACCGGGAUGGACAUACCUCUGGUGUACCAGUUGUGCCGCCAGGCGCAUCGCUGGGUAGCUACGUAUGGAUGUGAUAAACGCUGAAAGCAUCUAAGUGUGAAACACACCUCGAGAUGAGAUUUCCCAUUCCUUUAUGGAAGUAAGACCCCUGAAAGAUGAUCAGGUAGAUAGGUUAGAAGUGGCAGUGCGGUGACGCAUGAAGCGGACUAAUACUAAUCGGUCGAGGACUUAACC